GAAACAUUCAACGCUGUCGGUGAGUUUUCUGAAGACAAACCAUCGACCGUUGAGUG
rnacentral:miRNA from 1 species